rnacentral:tRNA from 1 species
GCGCCCGUAGUUCAAUGGAUAGAAUGCAAGAUUGCGGAUCUUGAGGUUGUGGGUCCGAAUCCCGCCGGGCGCA